CUGACACACAGCAGGUGUUUAAUGGU
rnacentral:piRNA from 1 species